GACAAACGCUGGCGGCGUGCAUAAAACAUGCAAGUCGGACGAGCCAAUCCCCGCAAGGGGAAAGGCUAGUGGCGAACGGCUGAGUAACACGUAGGUGACCUGCCCCGAAGUGGGGGAUAACGACUCGAAAGAGUCGCUAAUACCGCAUGUGACCACCGACUCGUUUCGGUGCUCAAAGUCGCAAGACGCUUUGGGAGGGGCCUGCGGCGGAUUAGCUAGUUGGUGAGGUAAUGGCCCACCAAGGCUUCGAUCCGUAGCUGGUCUGAGAGGAUGGCCAGCCAGACUGGGACUGAGACACGGCCCAGACUCCUACGGGAGGCAGCAGUUAGGAAUUUUGCGCAAUGGGGGAAACCCUGACGCAGCCACGCCGCGUGCGGGAUGAAGGCCUUCGGGUCGUAAACCGCCUUUCUCGAGGAAGACACCCGACGGUACUCGAGGCAUAAGCAACGGCUAACUACGUGC
rnacentral:rRNA from 1 species